rnacentral:misc_RNA from 1 species
GCAAGUAAAAGUCGUAACAAGGUUUCCGUAGGUGAACCUGCGGAAGGAUCAUUAUUGGAUUUUGAAACUUCAGGCUGCUGCUGGCUCUCCUCGGAGGGCAUGUGCACGCUUGUUGUCCAUUAUUUCUCCCACUGUGCACAAAUUGUAGACCUUUCAGUAGGCCUAUGUUGUUUUUCACAAUCUCUGAAUGUAAUAGAAUGGUUUUGAAUCUUGGGAAAUACAAUACAACUUUCAGCAACGGAUCUCUUGGCUCUC